rnacentral:rRNA from 1 species
GUUAAGCGACUAAGCGUACACGGUGGAUGCCCUGGCAGUCAGAGGCGAUGAAGGACGUGCUAAUCUGCGAUAAGCGUCGGUAAGGUGAUAUGAACCGUUAUAACCGGCGAUUUCCGAAUGGGGAAACCCAGUGUGAUUCGUCACACUAUCAUUAACUGAAUCCAUAGGUUAAUGAGGCGAACCGGGGGAACUGAAACAUCUAAGUACCCCGAGGAAAAGAAAUCAACCGAGAUUCCCCCAGUAGCGGCGAGCGAACGGGGAGGAGCCCAGAGCCUGAAUCAGUGUGUGUGUUAGUGGAAGCGUCUGGAAAGGCGCGCGAUACAGGGUGACAGCCCCGUACACAAAAAUGCACAUACUGUGAGCUCGAUGAGUAGGGCGGGACACGUGGUAUCCUGUCUGAAUAUGGGGGGACCAUCCUCCAAGGCUAAAUACUCCUGACUGACCGAUAGUGAACCAGUACCGUGAGGGAAAGGCGAAAAGAACCCCGGCGAGGGGAGUGAAAAAGAACCUGAAACCGU